rnacentral:rRNA from 1 species
GAAUUAUUGGGCGUAAAGCGUCCGCAGGUGGUGUCCAAGUCUGCUGUCAAAGACCGAAGCUCAACUUCGGGCACGCAGUGGAAACUGGGAGACUAGAGUACGGUAGGGGUAGAGGGAAUUUCCAGUGUAGCGGUGAAAUGCGUAGAGAUUGGAAAGAACACCAGUGGCGAAGGCGCUCUACUGGGCCGUAACUGACACUCAGGGACGAAAGCUAGGGGAGCGAAAGGGAUUAGAUACCCCUGUAGUCCUAGCUGUAAACGAUGGAUACUAGGCGUUGCUUGUAUCGACCCGAGCAGUGCCGUAGCUAACGCGUUAAGUAUCCCGCCUGGGGAGUACGCACGCAAGUGUGAAACUCAAAGGAAUUGACGGGGGCCCGCACAAGCGGUGGAGUAUGUGGUUUAAUUCGAUGCAACGCGAAGAACCUUACCAGGACUUGACAUCCCGCGAAUUCUGGGGAAACUCGGAAGUGCCUUCGGGAGCGCGGAGACAGGUGGUGCAUGGCUGUCGUCAGCUCGUGUCGUGAGGUGUUGGGUUAAGUCCCGCAACGAGCGCAACCCUCGUCCUUAGUUGCCAGCAUUAAGUUGGGCACUCUGGGGAGACUGCCGGUGACAAGCCGGAGGAAGGUGGGAUGACGUCAAGUCAGCAUGCCCCUUACGUUCUGGGCUACACACGUACUACAAUGGUUGGGACAAAGGGCAGCGAGCUCGCAAGAGUCAGCGAAUUUCAUCAAACCCAGCCUCAGUUCAGAUU